AGAAUCCUGAAUUGGAGUCCCUGUAUUUGGCACAAAGUCUGAGUUGUAGCUACAAUGUGAUGUGCUUUGUAGCACAAUUCAUAAUUCUAUCCAAGUGGUGUACAGAAAGUCAUUGCCUUCUUUACACCUGCUUGACCUCCAUGUAUCAGAAAUUCACAACUGCCUUUUCAAUGCUCAGGAAUCUAGUUUUAGGGUGCAGAUUUUGUGAUUUUUGGCACUAUUUUAAAAUUGGGAGGAAUGCUGUUUGCACUACAAUAUGGCAAGUUUGUUACGCCAUAUUGACGGAAGUGACUCAUGUAUGGUUACAGGAUCCUACAGAUAUAAAAUGGAAAAACAUUUGACAUGUGCACACAAGUCCUGAAUCUGUACAGGUGCAGUAAAGUAGAAAGCAAAUGGCUUACCCAUUAUGGAAGUUCAUCUAAGGCUUGUGAAGGCGUAUAAGGAGUCUGCCCUUUCAUUUCCAACUGUUAUGAAAAAGGAACUGAAUUCAAAUGUGGUCAUAUUUUUCAUUCUGAAAAUCCGCAUGAAGAACAUCCCAAAAGUGCAACCUUAGAUGAAGAUAUCUAGAAUGUGUCCAAUAACAUUUUGUGUUUUUUAGUGAUGUCUUAUUUGAAGAAAGCAUACGUUAGAUGAAGAAUGAGUCAAUCUGUAAUAGUUUAAAUUUGAGAGAACUUUGUGCCAACCAAAAGCAGAUGAAAAACACGUAUCUCAGCAACACUAUGUGAUCAAAAAUAUCCAGACAUCUGGCUGAAAAUGAUUUACAAGUUCAUGGCGCCCUCCAUUGGUAAUGC